AUACAAUGUUUGCAUGAUAAUGAAUGGGACACACUUAUGUGGGUGCAGAUUCGAUUGUGGAUUUUAUACCUUAAGGUUUAUAGAGCACUGGACUGGGGGAAGGAUGAAUACACGUGAACUAGAGGCUAACAUGGGUAUUGAUAUGCGAAUGAGGCUACUCGUACGGUUUAUAUUAUCCCCGCACAACAAGAGGCGAGAUGAUGUACUGCAGAAGUGCAGAUAAAAAUUACCGGGUACAACGGAAGCAGAAGUGGUUGUAAAAUGGCACUGCAUGAGCAGAUGAAAGGAUUUCGUAUGCACUGAUUUUUGUUAACUAUUUAUAAUGUGUUUUGUCCAGUAAGUUGGUGUUUGAAUUUGAACAAUAGUAAGACAGUUAGUGAUUGUUUUGUCCAGAUGAUAGUAGGUGCUGGUUUGUGGGUACAGUGAAGUGGUGUUAAAGAUAGGUUACAGGAAGGUAGGUUACAGAGUAGUCAGAUAGAAGGGAGACAGAUAAUGACAGUAGUGAGGAAAUGUGGGUGGUUGUGGGGUUGGUAGUGCAUGGGUGGAGUAUUUCAUUUCUGGUGUUGGUGCACUAUUGUGGGUGGUCUAAAUCAGUCCAACCUCUAUCAUAAACAACUUUAUGAAAAAGGGUAGUUACCAAAUAAAGGAUUAGCCCUUCUGGUUC